rnacentral:misc_RNA from 1 species
CUGGGACAACGCGACGGCGGAAAUGCAAGCUUGUAUCCACCUACUAUCCAUUCGUGGUCUCAGAAUAUGACAACUGUGAUAUACUCCGUUCUCCGAGGCACGACAAUGGCUGCGAGCUCUGGGUCACCCGGCAGGGGGCGCAGAACGUCAGCAGCGCCUGCCUAUUCAUCUACGAUCUCCUAUGCGGACCUAACAAGUUUCAAAAGUACGACGAGGAAUUCUGCAGAGAUAAAAUUCAGAUUACGUAAUAAAUGCCUAAUGCCUCA